GGGGCGACAGCCCCUGUCCAGCAUGGAGCCAGGGCAAGCUCCAUGGGGAAAAACAACAUGGACAACACACCUGCAAACUCCCCGAAAGGCACCCUUGAUAGACCAGAGACACCAGCCAGACAAUAUCUACAAAUUGUCAAGUGUGAUCUCUCACAUCUGGGAGACAACAUGUGUACAGGUAAAAUGCACGCACGCACACACAAUUCUGAAAGCUUAAUGUACACUCUAUUCUGUUUCCCUUGUU